AUUGGGAUUGCUGGGUGAUAUGGUAACUCUAAUUUUUUGAGGAACUACCAAACUGUUUUUCACAGUGGCUGUACCGUAUUACAAUCCUGCCAGCAAU
rnacentral:pre_miRNA from 1 species